UGGCUUUUUUAUUAAUUGUAAGCAAAAUUACACAUGCAAAAAUCCCUGAGCCAGUGAGAAUGCCCUUUAAAUCAUCCUGAUAUAAUGGAGCGGGUAUCAAGUACACAUUAAAGUAGCUCAUAACACCUUGCUUAACCACACCCCCACGGGAAACAGCAGUGAUAAAAAUUAAGCUAUGAACGAAAGUUUGACUUAGUUAUGCAAUACAAUUAGGGUUGGUAAAUCUCGUGCCAGCCACCGCGGUCAUACGAUUAACCCAAAUUAAUAAACAUCGGCGUAAAGAGUGUUUAGGAUUAAAAUUUAACUAAGAUUAAAUUCUAUUUAUGUCGUAAAAAACCACAAAUAGACUCAAACUCAAUAAAUGUAAGUAAUCUUAUUAUAUCUGAACACACGAAAGCUAAGAUUCAAAGCUAAGCUGUAAACACAAAAUAUUAAAUAGAACAAAACAUUUCGCCAGAGGACUACUAGCCAUAGCUAAAAACUCAAAGGACUUGGCGGUGCUUCACACCCAUCUAGAGGAGCCUGUUCUGUAAUCGAUACACCCCGAUAAACCUCACCACUUUUUGCCAAUUCAGCCUAUAUACCGCCAUCUUCAGCAAACCUUAACAAAGAGAAAAAGUAAGCACAAUCACAAUCAUAAAAACGUUAGGUCAAGGUGUAGCCAAUAAAGUGGGAAGAAAUGGGCUACAUUUUCUUCGUUAAGAACACUAAACGAAAACUAUUGUGAAAAUUAAUAGUCUAAGGAGGAUUUAGCAGUAAAUUAAGAAUAGAGUGCUUAAUUG
rnacentral:rRNA from 1 species